GAAAUGCGAUACGUAGUGUGAAUUGCAGAAUUCCGAGAAUCAUCGAAUCUUUGAACGCAUAUUGCGCUCGCGGCUUCGGCCAAGAGCAUGUCUGCCUCAGCGUCGGGUUAAUAUCACUCACAAUGAUCAUUGUCUGACAAUGAACAUGCCGAGUGGACCUGACUGUUCCAGCUCAGGGUUGCAUUGAUUCACAUCAACGCAGUCAUGCCCUCUGGAUCAGUUGAAGUGCAGAGGUUAACUAAGGACCCGCUAAGGGCCGCAACUGGGUAGGCAGCAUAGCUUGCUAUUCUUAGUUGUUGGUCUGGGACCAUAGGGAACCCUCAACCAGGAAACUUAACCCUUAUUUUCUCGACCUGAGCUCAGGCAAGAACACCCGCUGAACUUAA
rnacentral:misc_RNA from 1 species